rnacentral:rRNA from 1 species
CUUUACUGCAACUUGACGUUGGAACUUGGCUGUAUUUGUGUAGGAUAGGUGGGAGACUUUGAAGCAGGGCCGCCAGGUCUUGCGGAGUCGUCGUUGAAAUACCACCCUGGUGCUGACGAGUUUCUAACCGUGUCCGUAAGCCGGACAUGAGACAGCGUCUGGUGGGCAGUUUGACUGGGGCGGUCGCCUCCUAAAAGGUAACGGAGGCAUUCAAAGGUCCCCUGAGCGUGGUCGGUAAUCACGCGCAGAGUGCAAACGCAUAAGGGGGCUUAACUGCGAGACCGACAGGUCGAGCAGGUACGAAAGUAGGAGUUAGUGAUCCCGCGGUUUAGCGUGGAAUUGCCGUUGCUCAAUGGAUAAAAGGUA